ensembl:piRNA 21ur-12625 ncRNA
UUUUUACAAACUCCGCGCACA